UACGUAGGUGGCGAGCGUUGUCCGGAUUUACUGGGCGUAAAGAGCGCGCAGGCGGUCGUUCAAGUCGCGUGUGAAAGCCCCCGGCUCAACUGGGGAGGGUCACGCGAUACUGAUCGACUCGAAGGCAGGAGAGGGUAGUGGAAUUCCCGGUGUAGUGGUGAAAUGCGUAGAUAUCGGGAGGAACACCGAUGGCGAAGGCAGGUCUCUGGGCUGACACUGACGCUCAUGCACGAAAGCGUGGGGAGCAAACAGG
rnacentral:rRNA from 1 species